ACAAGCGUACACGGUGGAUGCCCUGGCAGUCAGAGGCGAUGAAGGACGUGCUAAUCUGCGAAAAGCGCCGGUAAGGUGAUAUGAACCGUUAUAACCGGCGAUGUCCGAAUGGGGAAACCCGGUGCACUUCGGUGCAUCAUCGUUAGCUGAAUACAUAGGCUAACGAGGCGAACCGGGGGAACUGAAACAUCUAAGUACCCCGAGGAAAAGAAAUCAACCGAGAUUCCCCCAGUAGCGGCGAGCGAACGGGGAACAGCCCAGAGCCUGAAUCAGCUUGUGUGUCAGUGGAACGGUCUGGAAAGGCCGGCGAUACAGGGUGACAGCCCCGUACACGAAGGCACACAGGCUGUGAGCUCGAUGAGUAGGGCGGGACACGUGAUAUCCUGUCUGAAGAUGGGGGGACCAUCCUCCAAGGCUAAAUACUCCUGACUGACCGAUAGUGAACCAGUACCGUGAGGGAAAGGCGAAAAGAACCCCGGCGAGGGGAGUGAAACAGAACCUGAAACCGUGUACGUACAAGCAGUGGGAGCCUUCGUAAGAGGGUGACUGCGUACCUUUUGUAUAAUGGGUCAGCGACUUAUAUUCUGUAGCAAGGUUAACCGUAUAGGGGAGCCGAAGGGAAACCGAGUCUUAACCGGGCGUUAAGUUGCAGGGUAUAGACCCGAAACCCGGUGAUCUAGCCAUGGGCAGGUUGAAGGUUGGGUAACACUAACUGGAGGACCGAACCGACUAAUGUUGAAAAAUUAGCGGAUGACCUGUGGCUGGGGGUGAAAGGCCAAUCAAACCGGGAGAUAGCUGGUUCUCCCCGAAAGCUAUUUAGGUAGCGCCUCGUGAACUCAUCUCCGGGGGUAGAGCACUGUUUCGGCUAGGGGGCCAUCCCGGCUUACCAACCCGAUGCAAACUGCGAAUACCGGAGAAUGUUAUCACGGGAGACACACGGCGGGUGCUAACGUCCGUCGUGAAGAGGGAAACAACCCAGACCGCCAGCUAAGGUCCCAAAGUCAUGGUUAAGUGGGAAACGAUGUGGGAAGGCCCAGACAGCCAGGAUGUUGGCUUAGAAGCAGCCAUCAUUUAAAGAAAGCGUAAUAGCUCACUGGUCGAGUCGGCCUGCGCGGAAGAUGUAACGGGGCUAAACCAUGCACCGAAGCUGCGGCAGCGACACGUAUGUGUUGUUGGGUAGGGGAGCGUUCUGUAAGCCUGUGAAGGUGUGCUGUGAGGCAUGCUGGAGGUAUCAGAAGUGCGAAUGCUGACAUAAGUAACGAUAAAGCGGGUGAAAAGCCCGCUCGCCGGAAGACCAAGGGUUCCUGUCCAACGUUAAUCGGGGCAGGGUGAGUCGACCCCUAAGGCGAGGCCGAAAGGCGUAGUCGAUGGGAAACAGGUUAAUAUUCCUGUACUUGGUGUUACUGCGAAGGGGGGACGGAGAAGGCUAUGUCGGCCGGGCGACGGUUGUCCCGGUUUAAGCGUGUAGGCUGACUUUCCAGGCAAAUCCGGAAGGUUAAGGCUGAGGCGUGAUGACGAGGCACCACGGUGCUGAAGUGACAAAUGCCCUGCUUCCAGGAAAAGCCUCUAAGCAUCAGGUAACAUCAAAUCGUACCCCAAACCGACACAGGUGGUCAGGUAGAGAAUACCAAGGCGCUUGAGAGAACUCGGGUGAAGGAACUAGGCAAAAUGGUGCCGUAACUUCGGGAGAAGGCACGCUGACAUGUAGGUGAAGCCCCUGCGGGUGGAGCUGAAGUCAGUCGAAGAUACCAGCUGGCUGCAACUGUUUAUUAAAAACACAGCACUGUGCAAACACGAAAGUGGACGUAUACGGUGUGACGCCUGCCCGGUGCCGGAAGGUUAAUUGAUGGGGUUAUCGCAAGAGAAGCUCCUGAUCGAAGCCCCGGUAAACGGCGGCCGUAACUAUAACGGUCCUAAGGUAGCGAAAUUCCUUGUCGGGUAAGUUCCGACCUGCACGAAUGGCGUAAUGAUGGCCAGGCUGUCUCCACCCGAGACUCAGUGAAAUUGAACUCGCUGUGAAGAUGCAGUGUACCCGCGGCAAGACGGAAAGACCCCGUGAACCUUUACUACAGCUUGACACUGAACAUUGAGCCUUGAUGUGUAGGAUAGGUGGGAGGCUUUGAAGCGUGGACGCCAGUCUGCGUGGAGCCGACCUUGAAAUACCACCCUUUAAUGUUUGAUGUUCUAACCUGGCGCCGUGAUCCGGCGUGGGGACAGUGUCUGGUGGGUAGUUUGACUGGGGCGGUCUCCUCCCAAAGUGUAACGGAGGAGCACGAAGGUCAGCUAAUCCUGGUCGGACAUCAGGAGGUUAGUGCAAUGGCAUAAGCUGGCUUGACUGCGAGAGUGACGGCUCGAGCAGGUGCGAAAGCAGGUCAUAGUGAUCCGGUGGUUCUGUAUGGAAGGGCCAUCGCUCAACGGAUAAAAGGUACUCCGGGGAUAACAGGCUGAUACCGCCCAAGAGUUCAUAUCGACGGCGGUGUUUGGCACCUCGAUGUCGGCUCAUCACAUCCUGGGGCUGAAGUAGGUCCCAAGGGUAUGGCUGUUCGCCAUUUAAAGUGGUACGCGAGCUGGGUUUAGAACGUCGUGAGACAGUUCGGUCCCUAUCUGCCGUGGGCGCUGGAGAAUUGAGGGGGGCUGCUCCCAGUACGAGAGGACCGGAGUGGACGCAUCACUGGUGUUCGGGUUGUCAUGCCAAUGGCACUGCCCGGUAGCUAAAUGCGGAAGAGAUAAGUGCUGAAAGCAUCUAAGCACGAAACUUGCCCCGAGAUGAGUUCUCCCUGAGACUGUAAGUCUCCUGAAGGAACGUUGAAGACGACGACGUUGAUAGGCCGGGUGUGUAAGCGCAGCGAUGCGUUGAGCUAACCGGUACUAAUGAACCGUGAGGCUUAACC
rnacentral:rRNA from 1 species